UACGUAGGGGGCUAGCGUUGUCCGGAAUCAUUGGGCGUAAAGAGCGUGUAGGCGGCCCGGUAAGUCCGCUGUGAAAGUCGGGGGCUCAACCCUCGAAUGCCGGUGGAUACUGUCGGGCUAGAGUGCGGAAGAGGCGAGUGGAAUUCCUGGUGUAGCGGUGAAAUGCGCAGAUAUCAGGAGGAACACCGAUUGCGAAGGCAGCUCGCUGGGACGUAACUGACGCUGAGGAGCGAAAGCAUGGGGAGCGAACAGG
rnacentral:rRNA from 1 species